GACGAACGCUGGCGGCGUGCUUAACACAUGCAAGUCGAACGGAAAGGCCCUGCUUUUGUGGGGUGCUCGAGUGGCGAACGGGUGAGUAACACGUGAGUAACCUGCCCUUGACUUUGGGAUAACUUCAGGAAACUGGGGCUAAUACCGGAUAGGAGCUCCUGCUGCAUGGUGGGGGUUGGAAAGUUUCGGCGGUUGGGGAUGGACUCGCGGCUUAUCAGCUUGUUGGUGGGGUAGUGGCUUACCAAGGCUUUGACGGGUAGCCGGCCUGAGGGGGUGACCGGCCACAUUGGGACUGAGAUACGGCCCAGACUCCUACGGGAGGCAGCAGUGGGGAAUAUUGCACAAUGGGCGGAAGCCUGAUGCAGCAACGCCGCGUGCGGGAUGACGGCCUUCGGGUUGUAAACCGCUUUCGCCUGUGACGAAGCGUGAGUGACGGUAAUGGGUAAAGAAGCACCGGCUAGCUACGUG
rnacentral:rRNA from 1 species